CCCCGGCCCGGCCCGGCCCGGCCCGGCCUUGCGAGCGGUGCGGCCCCGGCUCCGGCGCCGCCGCCCGCAGCCCGCCGCCUCUUGCCAGCCGCUCUGAGCUGGAGAGCCGCGAACGCCUCGCUCUCGCCCUGGGAGCAGCGCUGUUCCCCGCCUCUGGAAGCGUGGUCGCUGCCCGGGCAAAUGCCCGGCGUGUCCCCAGGGCUCCGCGCUGAGCAGCGCGCGGUGCUCGCUCGGAGCCUGCCCGGGGAGCGCGCGGGGGGGGCUCCGCGGGCUGUGCCCUGCCGGGCGGCGCUGCCGGCGGGUCGGUGCGCGGUGCUCCCGGGCGCGUCCCGUCUCCUUCAGCAGCUGGCGGUGUCCUCCGGGCGAGCGCUGCUGGUCACAGCGCCGGUAGCGGGCCGCAGUCCCCUGCCCCGUGCCUCCGGUAACUGUGUGUCCCGCCCGGGUGGCGAGGGGGUUUCUGUAUCGAAGCGUUUGUGCUGUGUGAAGGUGGUGGGCUCCCCAUCUGCCUUUGCCCCUCUGAGUUUGGACCACACCAGAACUUUGCUUUAUCCUUUUCCUGCCAUCCAUGGGUACCAAAAAUGUUUUCAUGGCCUUACAUGUGCUAACAAUUUAUAGACUGUAAAUUUGCUUUUGGCUUUUUAAAUAGCUAAAACUUUCUGUGACGUUUGGAUGGAUCUCAUCAUCCUCCCUCCCCAGAUUCUUUUCAUGGGAGGGAGAGAAAAAGAGAAAGUUUUCUUCUGUUGCUGUUGAGGGCCACUUCUCAUUUUUCAUGCGCCCUUCUAGGAGGUUAGGAGGUCCCAGUUCAACUUUGUUACUUGCAUAGAUGAAACGCAUCAUUCUUAAACGAGCAAGAGGCUGAUGGUUUUUUUUGUUUUUUUUUUGGAGUUGGACCAAAAUGUGUUUGGUUUUGUGUAUGUGUUUUGGAAUAUGUUUUGGAUUUUUUGUUGCUUUUUGCAAGCUCCAGUAAGAAUUCCAGACUGUUUCACUUUAACAAGUGGAUUUUAUAAACACAGAGCCAGACAUCAUAUCAUCCCAAACCCAGAGACAGGCCUUGGGAAUUCCUGGGCUGCCUGUUUGCUAGUGUCAUUAUCCUUUGAUUAAUGAGAGGUGGGUUUUGCAUGGAUGGCAGGCUGGUUGGUACAAGCUUGGAGGUAGUUUUCAGAUACGCCUGUGAGUUUCCAGGGCUUUAGUCAAAGGCUAUACUGGCCUCUGGCCUGGAGUUGAACCACCUUCUCGCAUGUACUCUCCAACAUACUUGGUCAUCCCUUCUGCCUGAGGACCAAGAACUCCAGCUUCAGAGCCCUCACAGCCCAGUGUCCAGUCCUGUUUCAUGGUAAGUAGAGAUGAAAUGGCCAAUGCCAGCUAGGAGCUGGACUUACUCUGUAGGGAAAUGCAGCUGCUUCAGUGCCCAUCUUUUGUGUCUCUAGCUGAUGGGUGGGAAUUUUGACACUGGCUUUUGACAGCAAAAGCCAGUGUUUUUAUCUGAGGGCAGUAUGGUUGAGGAGGAAGAAAGUUUCUUUAACAACCUCAUCAAAGCCCUUGUUCCCCGCAGCAUGGUGUGUUGCGCCCUCCACAGUGAGUUGCAGAGGGAGGUCUUGUCACGUUUUAUUAAUAU
ensembl:lncRNA